AGCGCGCGUAGGUGAUGUUUAAGUCGGAUGUGAACGCUGGGCUUAACGUAGGAAUUGCACCCGAUACUGGGUAUCUUGAGUAUGGUAGAGGGAAGUAGAAUCUCCCGGUGUAGCGGUGAAAUGCGUAGAUAUCGGAAAGAACACCAGUGGCGAAGGCGACUUCCUGGACUAAUACUGACACUGAGGCGCGAAAGCGUGGGGAGCAAACAGGAUUAGAGACCCUGGUAGUCCACGCCGUCAACGAUGAGAACUAGCUGUUGGGAAGUUCACUUCUUAGUAGCGAAGUUAACGCGUUAAGUUCUCCGCCUGGGGAGUACGGCCGCAAGGUUAAAACUCAAAGAAAUUGACGGGGGCCCGCACAAGCGGUGGAGCAUGUGGUUUAAUUCGAUGCAACGCGAAAAACCUUACCUACCCUUGACAUCCUCGGUUCUUGUCAGAGAUGACUUGGUCCCUUCGGGAACCGAUUGACAGGUGCGCCAUGGCUGUCGUCAGCUCGGGUCGUGAGAGGAGGGGUUAAGUCCCGUAACGAGCGCAACCCUCCUCCUUAGUUGCCAGUGAGUCACGUCGGGAACUCUAAGGAGCCUUCCGGCGAUAAACCGAAGGAAGGUGGGGAAGAUGUCAAGUCAUCAUGCCCCUUACGGGUAGGGCUACACACGUUUACAAUGGGGCCUACAAAG
rnacentral:rRNA from 1 species